rnacentral:tRNA from 1 species
GCGCGUAGCCCAGUGGCCAGGGUGCUGCGUGUGCAGGGGCAGGUUGUGGGUUCGAGUCCCACAUCCCCCA